GAUGAACGCUGGCGGCGUGCCUAAUACAUGCAAGUCGAGCGAACAGACGAGGCGCUUGUUCCUCUCACGUUAGCGGCGGGCGGGUGAGUAACACGUGUAUAACCUACCUAUCAUACUGGUAUCACUUCGGGACACCGGCGCUAAUACCGGAUAAUCUCUUGCACCGCAUGGUGCAUUAGUGAGUGACGGCUUUGCUGUCACUUAUCGCUGGAUCCGCGCCGCAUUAGCUAGUUGGUAAGGUAACGGCUUUCCAAGGCGACGAUGCGUAGCCGACCUGAGAGAGUGAUCGGCGACACUGGAGCUGAGACAGCGUCCAGACUCCUGAGAGAGGGAGCAGUAGGGAAUCUUACGCAAUGGGCGAAAGUUUGACGGAGCAAGGCCGAGUGAGUGAUGAAGAUCUUCGGAUCGUAAAGCUGUGUUAUUAGGGAAGAACAAAUGUGUAAGUAACUGAGCAGGUCUUGACGGUACCGAGUCAGGAAGCCACGGCUAACUACGUG
rnacentral:rRNA from 1 species